GGCGCGCGGCCGAGCGGGGGCCGUGGUGCGCGGCCGGCCGGGCGGAGGCCCCGGCGUGCGGCCGGGCGGGCGAAGGCCUCAAGCGCGGGUCCAUGGUGCGUCCUCGAGCUCCGCCUCCUCAAGCACGCCGGCAGCCUCCAUCCCUCCCUCCUCCCUCAUCUCCGGCAGCGGGCCUCCCUCCCCGGAACGGAUCCGCGUCUCCUCGAGCGGAUCUAGGGCGGCGGGGGCGAGGCGGCGUGCGCGCGCGGCGGCGUCUGUAGCGUCCGGGGUGGCGGCGUGCGUCAACGAAGGAGCAAGGUCGCGUGCGCGGAGUGGAGCAGGGACACGGCGCCGCGGCGGCGAAUCAAGAGCAGGGGCUGCCAAGCUCAGCGGCGGAGAGGAGGAAGGACGAAGGGGGCCCGUGUCAGACCCGGCCAAAUCCGGCGGAGGCAGUGGCUCGCCGGCCUUGAGCUCGCCGCCGCGAUCUUCUUCGCUUCCUUCCCGCCCCAUCUCAGCCGCCGGCCCGAGCCUGCCGGCGCAUCUCUUCCACCCCGUGCCGGAGCCGCCACCGCGGCGGCCUCUGCUCCCUAGCCUGCUGCGCCCCCUCCCGCGCCUCCUCGCGGAUGCGUUUGAGGAGAGAUGGUUGCAUCGCCUCUCUCCUCGAAGGCAAUCUGCCUUCCAUCGUAGCCUCAUCUGUUGGAGACGUUGCCUCGCGUGAACAGUGACUCCCGGAGAGGCAAAAAUGCUACUGCCUUCUCUGUUGAAGUCAGUCUAAGGCUAAAUGUUUUGCAUCCUUGUUCUAUAACUUCAUCUGGUUUUGAUUUUUCCUGGGUAUUUUGUAUGUGGUAAUAUGGAUGGCACUAACAUGUUAUUUGUUUCUAUUAUGGCCUUUGUAUUUCUGCGCUAGGUGGAAAUCUGAUUGGCAGAAACUACUAUCCGUAGUCAUGGAAUCUAAUGGAAAUCUGAAUACACUGAUCAUUGCUUAUGACUUGUUCUGCAUCAAAUCAGCAGAUGCAUCUUCUAAUAAGCAAUGAAAAUGGUGAAAACUGGGUAGAGAAUUUGACUCAGAUAUAACAAGGUUUACAUGAAGAUACAAGAUGACGUAUCAUUGUUCUCUGAGUGCUCAUGACCUCCAUUGGUAAAACUGAAACCAAACCGUGCCAUAGAAAGGUAUAUUGCUCUCGAGCAAAUGCAAGGAGAUUCAUUAUUCAUCUGUGGAAAUGCUCAAAGAUUAGUACUCUGCUUCUUCGUCCUCCAGCGAUCCAGCCUGUGAUGUCUUCUCAUGAUCAUUCUCGAGCUGGCUGAAGUUCCCCUUCUCCUUGAUCAGCUGGAUGUGAUGAUGCUUGCAGUAGAGCUUCCCCUCGUGCGCGAUGUAGUUCGAAGGGCUGAUGGUGCAUCCUCCAUGGCAGCACUUGAAGCAGCUCUUGUGAUACAUAGUGUUGUUGACAGUUACCUGAAGAAUUGGUGUGAGUGUUGUUAUCAUGCAAAUUAAUACUCAAGAGGUGGUGAGGACAGGCUAAUCAGCCUCAAGAACCACCGGAUCUCUAUGUAUGUAACGCAAAGGAAUCAAGGGAACAUGGUGAUCAUCAUCGUACCUUCGAAGCUCUUGUCCAGACUCCCCGUCCUCUUGAACAGCUGGUCGAAGUGAGGCCUGCAGUAGAGCACCCCCUCGAAGGAGUUGUAGUUCGCAAGCUGCAGCAAGAGAGAUCGCCACGCACACCGGCAUAGGCGCAUAGCUAUUAUUAGCUCAACGGAUCUAGACGGCGAGCUGGCCUGUUUACUAAAAGAAAACAAAUAGAUCUCGACGACAAGGCCACCCCAGCAAACAUGGAAAAGUAAGCCUGCAUAAGCUCCCCGUCAGGUCAGAUUUUUUUUUUUGUGAAGCAAAUCCCUGUCAGGUCAGAUUCUUCUGUUGCAACCUUCAGCCUUACUCAUCGGCCAUGAUUUGCUCUCGUAAACACUGGCGGAGCUUGACCUCUAAUUUCAAAAGAAUGAGGG